GACGAGCCACACAAACGUUAUUCGGAAUUACUGGGCUUAAAGGGUGCGUAGGCUGCGCGGAAAGUUGGGUGUGAAAUACCUCGGCUCAACCGAGGAACUGCGCCCAAAACUACCGUGCUCGAGGAAGAUAGAGUGAGCGGAACUUACGGUGGAGCGGUGAAAUGCGUUGAUAUCGUAAGGAACACCCGUGGCGAAGCGGCUACACUGGGUCUAUCUGACGCUGAUGCACGAAAGCUAGGGAGC
rnacentral:rRNA from 1 species